rnacentral:rRNA from 1 species
UACGGGGGGGGCAAGCGUUGUUCGGAAUUACUGGGCGUAAAGGGCUCGUAGGUGGCCAACUAAGUCAGACGUGAAAUCCCUCGGCUUAACCGGGGAACUGCGUCUGAUACUGGAUGGCUUGAGGUUGGGAGAGGGAUGCGGAAUUCCAGGUGUAGCGGUGAAAUGCGUAGAUAUCUGGAGGAACACCGGUGGCGAAGGCGGCAGCCUGGACCAAUUCUGACACUGAGGAGCGAAAGCCAGGGGAGCAAACGGG